GACAGAGGGUGCAAACGUUGUUCGGAAUUACUGGGCGUAAAGCGUGCGCAGGCGGUUGUGCAAGACAGAUGUGAAAUCCCCGGGCUCAACCUGGGAACUGCAUUUGUGACUGCACGGCUGGAGUGCGGCAGAGGGGGAUGGAAUUCCGCGUGUAGCAGUGAAAUGCGUAGAUAUGCGGAGGAACACCGAUGGCGAAGGCAAUCCCCUGGGCCUGCACUGACGCUCAUGCACGAAAGCGUGGGGAGCAAACAGG
rnacentral:rRNA from 1 species